GCCGCGUUCGUCUAGUGGCCCAGGACGACACGUUCUCAACGUGUAGAUCAUCGGUUCGAAUCCGAUACGCGGUACAA
rnacentral:tRNA from 1 species